GACGAACGCUGGCGGCGUGCUUAACACAUGCAAGUCGAACGAAGUGGCGAACGGGUGAGUAACGCGUAAUCAACCUGCCCUUCAGAGGGGGACAACAGUUGGAAACGACUGCUAAUACCGCAUACUGAAGGAGGGGAUUGCGUCUGAUUAGCUAGUUGGAGGGGUAACGGCCCCCCAAGGCGAUGAUCAGUAGCCCGUCUGGGAGGAUGUACCGCCCCAUUGGGCCUUAGACCCGUCCCAGACUCCUUCGGGAGGCAGCCGUGGGGAAUCUUCCGCAAUGGACGGAAGUCUUACGGAGCCACGCCGCGUGAGUGAUGACCGCCUUCGGGUUGUAAAGCUCUUUUAAUCGGGACGCGGUACCGGAAUAGAAAGCCACGGCUAACUACGUGCCAGCAGCCGCGGUAAUUC
rnacentral:rRNA from 1 species